UUAGAGUUUGAUCCUGGCUCAGAUUGAACGCUGGCGGCAGGCUUAACACAUGCAAGUCGAACGAUGAAACUCUAGCUUGCUAGAGAUGAUUAGUGGCGGACGGGUGAGUAACAUUUAGGAAUCUGCCUAGUAGUGGGGGAUAGCUCGGGGAAACUCGAAUUAAUACCGCAUACGACCUACGGGUGAAAGGGGGCGCAAGCUCUUGCUAUUAGAUGAGCCUAAAUCAGAUUAGCUAGUUGGUGGGGUAAAGGCCCACCAAGGCGACGAUCUGUAACUGGUCUGAGAGGGUGAUCAGUCACACCGGAACUGAGACACGGUCCGGACUCCUACGGGAGGCAGCAGUGGGGAAUAUUGGACAAUGGGGGCAACCCUGAUCCAGCCAUGCCGCGUGUGUGAAGAAGGCCUUUUGGUUGUAAAGCACUUUAAGCAGGGAGGAGAGGCUAAUGGUUAAUACCCAUUAGAUUAGACGUUACCUGCAGAAUAAGCACCGGCUAACUCUGUGCCAGGAGCCGCGGUAAUACAGAGGGUGCGAGCGUUAAUCGGAAUUACUGGGCGUAAAGCGAGUGUAGGUGGCUCAUUAAGUCACAUGUGAAAUCCCCGGGCUUAACCUGGGAACUGCAUGUGAUACUGGUGGUGCUAGAAUAUGUGAGAGGGAAGUAGAAUUCCAGGUGUAGCGGUGAAAUGCGUAGAGAUCUGGAGGAAUACCGAUGGCGAAGGCAGCUUCCUGGCAUAAUAUGACACUGAGAUUCGAAAGCGUGGGUAGCAAACAGGAUUAGAUACCCUGGUAGUCCACGCCGUAAACGAUGUCUACUAGCCGUUGGGGUCCUUGAGACUUUAGUGGCGCAG
rnacentral:rRNA from 1 species